GUCUGCUGUUGCCUUGGUUUAUCGAUCUCUUCUCCUCCAAGCAUGUAAUCAUAUCUCCUUGUAUGAUGAUCCUGCAGGACCAGUUGAAGAGACAAAACCUACACAAGAGCAAUGUUCAGCAAGUCUAUUUUUGCAUGGUUUUUAUGAAGUGUGACCGACCUCUCUAAGAGAUGACUCAGAACACCUGAGUGGUGAGUUGGCAUUUUGUAUAUUGUCUGCCGUCGAGGUGAUCUAAAGAUUAACUCUCCCAAAACCUACUUUGGAGAAGAGCACUGGGGCAGGGAAAGUUCCCGUUGUCCUUUUUAAAGGGAACCAAUAGUAAAUAAAAGAGUAGAAAACAAAAUGGAAAACCCCAACACAGCUAUUGCAAAGAAAUGUGAAGGUGUGACACAUUUUCCAGACAGUCAAAACUUCAGCCUCUCAGUGCAUCCCACUGCUACUCCGUGGCAUACACAUAGGUUCAGAGUGGAUUCUUUUCCCUCGAUAUAAGUGUCACACAUAUUUAAGUACUGGUUUCAGUAUCCAGGUGCUGACUUUGGGUGUACUACUGGUGCCUUAUUGAACUAAAAAAUUGUCUGCAGGAUCAUCAGCGACUCAAACUGACAAUAUGUGGGGGUGCAGGAAGCUGUGUUUCUUAAAUUGGAGUUGCCAUCGGUUUCUUCUCAUUUAAUCCCACCCGCACACAUCCAAGCACAUGUUGUAGCAUAUAAUGUGGCCACUCUAUUUAACAGGUUCAGAUAAAUGCAAGCAUAUGAUCCGAGACAUAAUGAAAAAAAAUGCUGCUGCUUUUAAGUUAAGGUUUUGCAACAUUUUUCCCCAACAAAAAAGGAGAGGCAUUGAUUUUUGUUGACCAGCUUCUCUCUUCUAGGGCCAGUGGUUUUCCUGAAACAUGAAGCUAGCGAUAAUUUCCUAUCCUAGAUUUGUUACCAUUCAGUAGCGGUUGCAAGGUGGCCUUGUUGCUGCAGGCUGAGAGCAAAUCACAACCCCGGGAGUCAGUGUUAAUUAAAAAGGGACUUAUCCAGGUGAUGCACAUUGUCCCAGCAAUUCUUCAGAACCUGAAUUCUGGAGCACACCGUAGAGACUAUUUAAUAGCAAAACCAAAUAAGAAAAUAAGCAUACGGUCAAAGGAAGCCUUUCUGGAGGGUUAUCAGUCACUGCCCAGGCAUAUGCUUACAUCUGAACUUCAAAGCCAGCACUACUUAAAAAAAAAAAAUCUAUAAAGCUGCUUGGCUCCUCUUUUACUACAGAAAUCAUGUAGCACAUUCAUCAUUUGCAAUGGAAGGGAGAUGGCUUUUGCAUCAGCGAAUGACAUUAGGCAUCAAGUAGCAUCCUGGAGGGAAAUGAGUCUAUUUUUCCAAGAAACAUCUGUGUAUGGAAGGUAUGUAAUGAAUGAGAGCAUUGUGUGUAGAUCACUAAUAGCAAAGAUAAAAUGUAAAUAGUAAUCAAAUUAAAUAGAGAAUCAGUGUUCCUUACUUCAUCUUCCAACCCUGUCAUUAAGUGGUUCCAUCAUCUUGGACAAGUUUGUAAACUCUGUACCUCAGUGUAUGUAUCUGUAAACUUGAUACCAUUGGAUUUUGUUGUUUUUUUUACCAAAAUAUAUUUAUUCUAAGUUGGUGCAAGUGUCAUUUAUGUUGUAGUAUUACCUAGAGGAUCUGAACUAGAAUAGUGGGGCUUGGUAUUAGGUAAUGGGCAGUUCCUGUUUCCUGAGUUGCAAACCGGUACAUUUGCUGUAACAUCUUUCUCCCAAUAAGUUAACUAGUACUUGCACAGAUAUAUGAGAUACAUUCAUAUAGCCCAGAACUUAAUCACACAAAACUUCUACGAUGAAGAAGGAAUAUGUUUUUUGGAAAAAACUUACUUUAUCAGCUUGACAAAAGGACAAGUAUAGCACCCAACUUGUCAUGAAUUCGAAUAUCAGCUUAAUUUUUGCCACUUCUUCCAUCCUCCCACUUAUUGUCUGGUGUUGCUUUUGACAGAUGCAUGGAUUUUUUUAAGUCGAGUCCAGUAAAUCCUUCUGAUAUAGUUUUUUAAAUAUACAGGUCCAUGACUCACAGUUGAGCUGUCCGGUAAUUAUGCUCAGCUUUGUUGUGUGGUUUUUCAUGACAGCAAUCUAAUUGCAUCAUGCACAGGAUUCCCAAAAUUAACUACAAAAGUAUGCUGUAUUCAUCAUCCUGCAUUUCCUAAAUUACUUGAAGCUGUGGCUUGAUGUAGCACUUACCUCUUUAAAAGGAAAGGGAGUGAACUCACUUCUCAGGAGCAUGUGUCAACAGAACUGAUAUAACUGUUUGUCUGUCCACUCCUAUACCAGUAGAAUGUAGUUAAAGCGCCGUCACUUUAAGCUGGAAUGAAACAGGUGUAGCUUGACAGCAAUUUAGGGCUCCUAUAAAUGUGCGGGGAGCCUGCUCUGACACGGUGGUAAUCCGGUGUGUCAGAGAAGACUCGAUUAAUCGAGUUUACUGGAGCACAGAAAUUGAUGCGCUCCAGAAGCCUUCUGCAUCACAUGUAUCAGCGUCCCCAUGUGUCCCUGCACUGAAAACAUGGCAACAGAGCAGGCGCUUUGAAAUAAAACACAUUCACUGAGCUUAGUUCAAAGCGCCCCGCUGCUAUUUUGUCAGCGCAGGGACACAUGGGGGUGCUGAUAUAUGUGAUACAUGGAUGCUUUUAAGUAGUGUGGCUCGCUUAUUAAAGUGCCCAGCACCGCAUCGCAGAGCACGUAUAAAAAUGGACUUAUUAGCUUCUGCUUGAAGUGUAAUACAUGAAGCAGUUACAGCAGAUCAUCUGUACAGUACUGUAGUUUUAAAGCAUCUUAACUGUUUCUGUCCACAUCCUGAGUGUCUUCUUGGUAUAAAUUACUCUCCACAAUAAAUAAAUAUCUCCACCAUUGAGCACGUUUUACAGACGGUUUCCUAAAAUCACAGCUCUGUAAUUGAAUGGCAUGCAAGUUUCACAUACAAGCAAAAGUAUGCUUGGCUCUGAUUUGCUGCCGAAUGUGUACAGCACUUAAAUGGUGACGAAUGGAAAAAGGACACAAUCCACUUCACACAGCAGAUUCAGGGAGUGAAAGCAAGCAGAACUGUCUAUCACUGCUCUGGCAUAUUCCUGAAACACUCAACUUGGAGCUAGAGCAUUGAAUCUGAUGAAGAAGAAUACAAGUCAGAAAUAAUCCUUGCAAUGUCAGAUAACCAAAGUUGAUGAUGCAUCUCCAUGCUUUUCCACUUCAAAAGGCUCUUGAAAUCUGUAACCAUUAUGUAUUCACUCUGUAUGGCAUUUUACAUGAAGAGGGCCACUAGAUAUUUAGAGAUGCUAUUAAUUUUGGUUGAUUCUUCUCAGUGGAAUAAGUGCUGACCUCAGUGUACUAUCAGAAGAUUAACUGUAGAAUUCAUUGAAAUGGAGGGUUGGCAGAAAGCUAGAUAACUAAGUAUUCUCAUAAAAAAUAUGAUUUUAAUAAAUAAAAAAAUCAUACUCAAGGAAUAAAGAAUCUUACAAAAAUAUUCCCUCCUGCUUCCCCAAAAAAGAAUAAUGUAAAAUCCUAAAAGGCAGAAAGCAGAUGAAAUCUUAACUUCUUGUACAAGACGCACACGGCCUGAUGUGCCCUUAUGUGCAUCACUGACUUCAUCCUCUGUGCCACUGCAUGCCUAGUUCAAGUAAUUAAAACCUACCCUAUGGAUGGCACACUUGCACAUUGGUGUUCCCUGUGUACAUUGUAUGGCGUAAAGGCCUGCUUCUUCUCAGGAAGUUAACUGGAAUGUUUGCCUUCGACUUCAGUGCGAGCAACUUGAAAACAGAAUUUGGAGGAAGAUGGAUAAGAGACUGGUAAGUGACAAGCCGUUAGAUUUCAAAUAGAGACUGUGGGUGAAUUAGUUUUUCCCCAUUGCCCUUUCACUUUGACCCUUGUUUUGUCCUGUAUUCUCUUUAUUUGUCUAGAGCCCCCAAGGUGUGCCUACCAUGUUUCUUCCUUACCCCAAUCCUCCAUGUUAUGUGGCUCUUCACCAUUUUUUAUAAGCUACAAAUACUACGCUCCGUUCAAUGUGAAAGCACUGGUGCAAAGGAGGCACUAUUGAGAGAUAAAUAAAAGAAAUGCACGCAACCCUAUCCUGUCCUGUGCUGUGCCUAGGUGUGGAAGAGACCUCAUGAGAUCAUCUAGUCCAGGCCUUCACUCAAGGCAGGAUCAUUGCUGACCUAAAUCAUCACAGCCAAGUGUCUGUCUGCUCCUGAAAAAUUGCAGAGAUGCAGAUUCCACAUCUUGUCUAGAUGCUUCAGAAUAGAUUCCUUGAGGACCUGCUUUAUGAUUUUUCCAGGUAUCAAGAUGCGUAGAGCUUGAAGAAAGAGACUGUUCCCAGAAGAGGAACAUGAAGUUUUUGUACAGUCCUUUGAAGACACAGACGUUGAGCAUGUCAGAGUAAUGAAAGAAGAUUGGGUUGAGAGAGGUACAAAGACUUCUGGAGGGAGGAAGAAUGUUUCAGUGUCAGGAGAAGCUGUAAACAGAGUGCCCACAUGGUUUGAACUCUGGAAACUGUGCUUUAAGCGAAUGAAGACUAAAGAAAGCAGCCCUCAUCUCAGAACUUAGGCACUCAGGAAAGUAUGCUAGAAAGACAAUGUGCAUCCCAAGAUCAUGCCUAGAAACCAAGAAAGAGCAACACAGUGUUUGGACUCCGGUCAGACUCAGUACUUGCUUCACCGUGUGUAGAUCCAAAAACAAUACGCUGGUGAGAGUCCAGAAGGGGAAGUUUGGCCAGAGCUGUGACAUCAAAGCUUUAAAAUUUGUCAGAAAAACCUUUCCCAACAUAUACACUGGAGAUGCUUUAAAAUCAAAUCUUUGUGAUUCAUAUUAAAUCUUUUUUAUCAAAGCUUCAGGACACUGGCAUAGUAACUAGUCACUUUGCAGCUGCAAUAAUUGGAAUGCAAAUGAUAUCUCAGUUUAGUGCUCAGGUUGGUUCUGCAUAUAUUAUUGUUGCACACAGUAUAUCAGAUUUAUUGCAGAGCAGAGAGCAUCAUCUAUUGAAUUAACCUGGACAAUCAUGAUAAUUCAUCGACCUGACAGACUUUCUACUGCAAUUUACCACUUCCAUUUUGUUGUAUUUGAUUGUGCUGGAGUUAUGCCAGUUAUUAGAUUUCAGCCUGGACAUCUAACUAUACUGGGUCUCAGCGCAGGAAAAUUGUCAUCCUCUGAUUAUAAAUGGUGGCACAUUUUGGCUUUACAAAAACAUAAUAUCAGGAAAGAAAUGACUGUGUUGAAAUCACUGUAGAGUAAAAUGGAAUCGCUCCAACCGCUGUGCACUGAACAGCUUGAUGUAAAGUGCAUAAGCAGUCCUUGGAUCAGGGACCAGAAUACAGGUCUCCCCGCUCCCAGAUGCUGCCAGCAUUUUAGUCAUGCUCCAUCUUGAUCCUUCUAUCAAACCCAAUUAAUCUUGAAUUUAUGUUACAGAUGAAUUCCCACAGAAAGAGUGGAGCAUGGUUCUCACCCAGACUAGACCAUAGGAAUAGGAACUGUGAUUUUUGUAUUGAGUUAUUUUUUAGUUUGAACGUUAGGGCUAAGGACGGACUGUCAGAAAGCCUGAGACUGAAUCAAUUCAGUCUUCGUAGGUUAGUCUAAGCUGUGUAGAUUGAACUGAUAAGCAAGCGAACAGAGAUUCACUUUUGGCUCUAGAAAUGCAGCCACCUGCCUGCGGUGGCCCAAGUCCGAAGCUGGAGGGGGGCACUAGAGCACACCUCCCUGCUCGACUGGAGCAGACAGCUUGAGCCAAGACUAACCCACCCAUCCUGGGAUGCUGGAGACUGUGAGUUAACUUGACUCUGUAAGGCAUUUGGGACAGAAGUUAAAAAAACCAAUUUAAUCUAAAUCAGUUAAGUCUGAUACUAUAUCCAUCCAGGUUUAUCUUAAACUGGUUUCAGCCAUUUCAAAAGCAGUUAUGUGUACUACAUUUCUGUUGUGUUAUGGAUUUGGACCAGUUUCUGGUCCCUUAUACCAGUUUUUGUGUAAUCUCUGUCCCUAGCCUAACAACUUUUUGCUGCUGGUUUUUUUUUAAAGCAGAAAAUGAUUGUUCAACACAUCCCAUCCCAUUCUGCUGUCACAGGUGCUGAUGUGGCCCUCCUGUUCACAUGGGUAGACCCAUCAGUUCUUUCCUUUCUGAGUCCCUUUUUGGUCUGUGAUGCUGUACAUGAGUUCAGGGGCUCACCCAAACAGAUCUGAUGUGGGGUCAAAGCCUAAUUUCUUUUUCUGCAUAACAGCAGUUUAAAUAAUUCCUGUAAUUUUCUGUCUUGAAUAAACUCUCCAUAUAGCCCUUAGGCACCACAUUUUAUUUUUGCUAGGGGAAGGGGCUAAGAUGAGCUCCCUUCACCCUCUUUGGUGGCACAGCCACAGCAGAGCCCAUGGGGAGGCAGGGGCAGAUGUGGGCUGCCUGCUGCUGCCUCAGGGUUCCCCGCACUGUUGCCUCACCCUGCCAAGGAGCCCCAUGCCAGCCAUGCUGCCAUGGCAAGGACCUCCCCCUCCCCCCCCACCCGGGCAGCAGCAGGGGGCAUAACUCUGUGCCUCCCCACUGCUGCUGCCAGGUGGGUGGGGGGCACAUUGCCAUGAUGGCAUAGCUGGCAUGGGGCUCCUGGUUGGACAGCAGCAUGGUGGGGAGCCCCAAGGCUGCAGUGGGCCACCUACAUCUGCUCCCACCCCACGCACAAAUCUGGGGGGCACAUGCUCCCCAUGCCUCCCUCCCCAGAGUGCGCACAGUAGCAGGGAGCCGCCUCCUCCUGCCCCCUAGAUGAGCUGCCUGUGGCUCUGUCCCACUUCCCAUCCAAGCCCUGAGCCCCAUGCACCACCCUGGCUGGACAGUACCCCCAGGCCCUGCUCCUGCCCCACUCCCUCCCUCACUGUGUCCAUAUCCCCAUAGAUUUACCUGCAGGCAGCUGGGGGAGCUGCUCUUCACUACUGCUUUGGGCUGUAUUCCUGGCCAUAUGCAUGUGUGCAUGGUGCCCCCUCCAUCUGACCCCUUGCAGCCCCUUGCAGGCUGGUAAUUUUUUGCCAGCCUGCAAGGGGAAACCUGCCAUUUCCUGCAUUUUUCCGUGGUGAAUGGAAAACCUGGAUCCCUGCACGAUACUGGGACAAGAACUUGAUGUUUCCAUUUUGGGACUGACUUGCCCAAUUAGGGAUGGGUGGUCACCCUACCUUCUUUCUGAGGGGGGCCAGGCCCCUUGGUUCCCCACAUGUCCAGCACCUAUACGGUAGCCUCUUAUCCAAUCAGCCCCACAAUGCACAAUAGAUAUCCAAGGCUGCACAACAUACACCUGGAAAAUAACCAAAAAAAAAAAAAUGUAAUAGUAACAUCAAAUUUGAUGCUACUAAUAAAAAGCCUGUGGAAUGCUUCUACUUAAUCUCCUCUAACUAAAAAAACCCAUAUUAACCCAACACCUAUUUUAAUGUUGAUACAAAUCUCUGAGAUCCUUUUGGGUGAAUAUUAUUAGAAUUGAGAGAACCAGUUUAGACAACAUCAAAACCAGCUUGAACUGAACCAAAACCAAAGUUUCUGAGUUUCAAACCAUUAUAAUUAUCUUUUAUGUCCUCAUUUUUUAAUUUCUGCAGAGCUCUAUUCUCCCCUGCGCUGACAACAGUGGGAAACGAAAGUAUCAUAAACUCUAUUAGAGAGUCUGUUUCCACAAGCUUUCUGGGAUAAUUUUUCAAACCCAAAAUUUAGGAAACCAUCUAUUGGGCUCCUUUUCCCAAUCAUUGAGUUUCAUUAUUUGCUUCCCUGUCUCCACUAUGCUGAUUUUUUUUUUAAAUUUAAAUUCUAAAAGUUGCCUUUUACACUUUCACUGUCUCCUGUGUCUGGCUUGUAAUGACUUCUGUUAGCUUGGAAAAUAAUGUGGUUAAAAUGCUUUCAAAGGAGUCUCUGGUGAAAUGAAUAUGUUUGAAAUAUGCAUAUUGUGCUGUUGUGCUCUCAAGGACUGUCAGGGUGAAACGAUACCCUAGGUAUUUGCAGCAGUAGUCACUGCCUGAGGCAAUUAAAAAUGUUUUCUUCUA